GAUGAACGCUAGCGGCAGGCCUAACACAUGCAAGUCGAGGGGUAACAGAAGAGAGCUUGCUUUCUUGCUGACGACCGGCGCACGGGUGCGUAACGCGUAUGCAACCUACCUUGUACUGGAGAAUAGCCCGGAGAAAUCCGGAUUAAUGCUCCAUAGUAUAAUAAUUUCGCAUGUUAUUAUUAUUAAAGAUUACGGUACAAGAUGGGCAUGCGUCCCAUUAGCUAGAUGGUAAGGUAACGGCUUACCAUGGCAACGAUGGGUAGGGGGCCUGAGAGGGUGAUCCCCCACACUGGUACUGAGACACGGACCAGACUCCUACGGGAGGCAGCAGUGAGGAAUAUUGGUCAAUGGAGGCAACUCUGAACCAGCCAUGCCGCGUGAAGGAAGAAUGUCCUAUGGAUUGUAAACUUCUUUUAUUUAGGAAUAAACUCCGGUACGUGUACCGGCCUGAAUGUACUAAAUGAAUAAGCACCGGCUAACUCCGUGCCAGCCGCCGCCGUAACAC
rnacentral:rRNA from 1 species